GACGAACGCUGGCGGCGUGCCUAAUACAUGCAAGUAGAACGCUGAAGGAGGAGCUUGCUCUUCUGGAUGAGUUGCGAACGGGUGAGUAACGCGUAGGUAACCUGCCUGGUAGCGGGGGAUAACUAUUGGAAACGAUAGCUAAUACCGCAUAACAGUAGAUGCUGCAUGACAUUUGCUUAAAAGGUGCAAUUGCAUCACUACCAGAUGGACCUGCGUUGUAUUAGCUAGUGGGUGGGGUAACGGCUCACCAAGGCGACGAUACAUAGCCGACCUGAGAGGGGGAUCGGCCACACUGGGACUGAGACACGGCCCAGACUCCUACGGGAGGCAGCAGUAGGGAAUCUUCGGCAAUGGACGGAAGUCUGACCGAGCAACGCCGCGUGAGUGAAGAAGGUUUUCGGAUCGUAAAGCUCUGUUGUAAGAGAAGAACGAGUGUGAGAGUGGAAAGUUCACACUGUGACGGUAUCUUACCAGAAAGGGACGGCUAACUACGUG
rnacentral:rRNA from 1 species